rnacentral:rRNA from 1 species
AUUGAACGCUGGCGGCAUGCCUUACACAUGCAAGUCGAACGGUAACAGGUUAAGCUGACGAGUGGCGAACGGGUGAGUAAUAUAUCGGAACGUGCCCAGUCGUGGGGGAUAACGUAGCGAAAGCUACGCUAAUACCGCAUACGAUCUACGGAUGAAAGCGGGGGAUCGCACGACCUCGCGCGAGUGGAGCGGCCGAUAUCAGAUUAGGUUGUUGGUGAGGUAAAAGCUCACCAAGCCUGCGAUCUGUAGCUGGUCUGAGAGGACGACCAGCCACACUGGAACUGAGACACGGUCCAGACUCCUACGGGAGGCAGCAGUGGGGAAUUUUGGACAAUGGACGCAAGUUUGAUCCAGCAAUGCCGCGUGCAGGACGAAGGCCUUCGGGUUGUAAACUGCUUUUGUACGGAACGAAACGGUGAGCUCUAAUACAGUUUGCUAAUGACGGUACCGUAAGAAUAAGCACCGGCUAACUACGUGCCAGCAGCCGCGGUAA